rnacentral:rRNA from 1 species
GACGAACGCUGGCGGCGUGCUUAACACAUGCAAGUCGAACGGUCAAGCGCUUUCCUUUUUGGUCGGAGUGGAUGAGUGGCGAACGGGAGAGUAACACGUGAGUAACCUGACCCCUUCUUAUGGAUAACCGCAUGAAAGAGUGGCUAAUACGGGAUAUUCUGCUCCUGCUGCAUGGUGGGUGUGGGAAAGAUUGUGCCUUUGGGUGUUUUCGGUGGGGGAUGGGCUAGCGGGCUAUCAGCUUGUUGGUGGGGUGAUGGCCUACCAAGGCGGUGACGGGUAGCCGACGUGGGAGGGUGGACGGUGACACGGGAGCUGGGACACGGACCAGACGCCUACGGGAGGCAGCAGUGUGGAAUAUUGCGCAGUGGGCGCAAGCCUGAUGCAGCGACGCCGCGUGUGAGAUGGAGACGUUCGGGGAGUGAUCCUCUUUCGCGAGUUAAGCAGGCCUGCUCCUUGUGGGUGUGUUGACGGUAGCUGAAGAAGAAGCGCCGGCUAACUACGUG